GUGGGGAAUUUUGGACAAUGGGCGAAAGCCUGAUCCAGCCAUGCCGCGUGCAGGAUGAAGGCCUUCGGGUUGUAAACUGCUUUUGUACGGAACGAAAAGACUCCUUCUAAUAAAGGGGGUCCAUGACGGUACCGUAAGAAUAAGCACCGGCUAACUACGUGCCAGCAGCCGCGGUAAUACGUAGGGUGCAAGCGUUAAUCGGAAUUACUGGGCGUAAAGCGUGCGCAGGCGGUUAUAUAAGACAGAUGUGAAAUCCCCGGGCUCAACCUGGGAACUGCAUUUGUGACUGUAUAGCUAGAGUACGGUAGAGGGGGAUGGAAUUCCGCGUGUAGCAGUGAAAUGCGUAGAUAUGCGGAGGAACACCGAUGGCGAAGGCAAUCCCCUGGACCUGUACUGACGCUCAUGCACGAAAGCGUGGGGAGCAAACAGGAUUAGAUACCCUAGUAGUCC
rnacentral:rRNA from 1 species